UACAGAGGGUGCGAGCGUUAAUCGGAAUUACUGGGCUUAAAGGGUGCGUAGGCGGUGCGGAAAGUUGGGUGUGAAAUCCCUCGGCUUAACCGAGGAAUUGCGCUCAAAACUACCGUGCUCGAGGGAGAUAGAGGAAUGCGGAACUUACGGUGGAGCGGUGAAAUGCGUUGAUAUCGUAGGGAACACCGGUGGCGAAAGCGGCAUUCUGGAUCUCUUCUGACGCUGAUGCACGAAAGCUAGGGUAGCAAACGGG
rnacentral:rRNA from 1 species